UGGGGAAUAUUGGACAAUGGGCGAAAGCCUGAUCCAGCCAUGCCGCGUGUGUGAAGAAGGUCUUCGGAUUGUAAAGCACUUUAAGUUGGGAGGAAGGGCAGUAAGUUAAUACCUUGCUGUUUUGACGUUACCAACAGAAUAAGCACCGGCUAACUUCGUGCCAGCAGCCGCGGUAAUACGAAGGGUGCAAGCGUUAAUCGGAAUUACUGGGCGUAAAGCGCGCGUAGGUGGUUCAGUAAGUUGGAAGUGAAAUCCCCGGGCUCAACCUGGGAACUGCUUUCAAAACUGCUGAGCUAGAGUACGGUAGAGGGUAGUGGAAUUUCCUGUGUAGCGGUGAAAUGCGUAGAUAUAGGAAGGAACACCAGUGGCGAAGGCGACUACCUGGACUGAUACUGACACUGAGGUGCGAAAGCGUGGGGAGCAAACAGG
rnacentral:rRNA from 1 species